rnacentral:lncRNA from 10 species
AGAGAAGAGAAUAAGAAGAGACUGGAAAAUUGGUCAUUCUCUCACAGCUUAAGUUUAGAUCUGGCGGAUGAUCUCUCGUCGCUCGGGGACAAGUUUGUACUGGAUAACCUCCUCCAGCUCGGACAGCAUGUGGCAAGAAACCAUGGCCUGAUGGAAGCAAAUCGCAUUCCAAACUAAUUACUGCACGAACAAUCCAAAAGACAGGAUUAAUUUAAAUCAUUCCUUCUGGUGUCAGGGUAUCUGCCGAUCAGAGAAAACAGGCAUGUUUCCAGCAGCCUGGAUGAAAAGAGAAAUUCGCUGAAGAAGGGCAUUUUCCCAGAACUGAAUGGCUUGAGAGGAGGUAUUAUCCAAUUUCUCAUCGAAGACAGAAAUGUAUGGCAUCCAAAACUUUAACAUCUAUCUAAGGAUGGGGCUGGUUACCAGAAAGACCAAGUAAUUAUCGGGUUUGAACUUUCAGCCCUGUCCACUGACAUCCAGGAAAGGUGAAGAGGUUGAAAAUGAAAGGCAAUAAAAACUCUUGAACAAUGAGCUUCCAGGUUGAUGAAGGUGCUGGGAGGGUGAAGGUAAACCCCAGUACCACAGGACAGAAGCUUCUGCACUCCAGACCCUUCUAGACCUUCCCUCAUUGUACCUGUUCACCUCUAUCUUUUAUAAUACCCUUUAUAAUAAACAA